rnacentral:misc_RNA from 1 species
GAUGAAGAACGUAGCGAAAUGGGAUAAGUAAUGUGAAUUGCAGAAUUCAGUGAAUCAUCGAAUCUUUGAACGCACAUUGCGCCCGCCAGUAUUCUGGCGGGCAUGCCUGUUCGAGCGUCAUUUCAACCAUCAAGCCCCAGGCUUGUGUUGGAGCCCUGCGGCUGCCGCAGCCUCCCAAAACCAGUGGCGGGCUCGCUAUCACACCGAGUGCAGUAGUUUACUCUUCGCUCAGGGCGUGUGGCGGGUGCUAGCCGUAAAACCCCCAACUUCUCAAGGUUGACCUCGGAUCAGGUAGGAAUACCCGCUGAACUUAAGCAUAUCAAUAAGCGGAGGA